GACGAACGCUGGCGGCGUGCCUAAUACAUGCAAGUAGAACGCUGAAGGAGGAGCUUGCUUCUCUGGAUGAGUUGCGAACGGGUGAGUAACGCGUAGGUAACCUGCCUGGUAGCGGGGGAUAACUAUUGGAAACGAUAGCUAAUACCGCAUAAUAGCAGUUGUUGCAUGACAACUGUUUGAAAGGUGCAAAUGCAUCACUACCAGAUGGACCUGCGUUGUAUUAGCUAGUUGGUGGGGUAAAGGCUCACCAAGGCGACGAUACAUAGCCGACCUGAGAGGGUGAUCGGCCAAACUGGGACUGGGACAAGGCCCAGACUCCUUCGGGAGGGAGCAGGAGGGAAUCUUCGGCAAUGGACGGAAGUCUGACCGAGCAACGCCGCGUGAGUGAAGAAGGUUGUCGGAUCGUAAAGCUCUGUUGUAAGAGAAGAACGAGUGUGAGAGUGGAAAGUUCACACUGUGACGGUAUCUUACCAGAAAGGGACGGCUAACUACGUG
rnacentral:rRNA from 1 species